AAGCGGCAACAGCUCAAAUUUGAAAUCUGGCUCUUUAGGGCCCGAGUUGUAAUUUGUAGAGGAUGCUUUUGGCGCGGUGCCUUCCGAGUUCCCUGGAACGGGACGCCUUAGAGGGUGAGAGCCCCGUACGGUUGGACACCAAGCCUCUGUAAAGCUCCUUCGACGAGUCGAGUAGUUUGGGAAUGCUGCUCUAAAUGGGAGGUAAAUUUCUUCUAAAGCUAAAUAUUGGCCAGAGACCGAUAGCGCACAAGUAGAGUGAUCGAAAGAUGAAAAGCACUUUGAAAAGAGGGUUAAAUAGCACGUGAAAUUGUUGAAAGGGAAGCGUUUGCGACCAGACCUUUUCCUAGCGGAUCAUCCGGUGUUCUUCGCCGGUGCACUUCGCUAGGUCGAGGCCAGCAUCGGUUUCUGCAGGGGGAUAAAAGCCCAGGGAACGUAGCUCUUUCGGGAGUGUUAUAGCCCUCCGC
rnacentral:rRNA from 1 species